GGCUCAAUGGUCUAGUCGUAUGAUUCCUGCUUUGGGUGUUCAGUUGAUCACGUGCAGGAGGCCCCGGGUUCAAAUCCCGGUUGAGCCC